UACGUAGGGUCCGAGCGUUGUCCGGAAUUACUGGGCGUAAAGAGCUCGUAGGUGGUUUGUCGCGUUGUCCGUGAAAACUCACAGCUCAACUGUGGGCGUGCGGGCGAUACGGGCAGACUGGAGUACUGCAGGGGAGACUGGAAUUCCUGGUGUAGCGGUGGGAUGCGCAGAUAUCAGGAGGAACACCGGUGGCGAAGGCGGGUCUCUGGGCCGAUACUGACGCUGAGGAGCGAAAGCGUGGGGAGCGAACAGG
rnacentral:rRNA from 1 species